CGUCACUCUUCCAUCUCUCUCCCUGUCAUUCUUCCCUAUCCCGUAUACCUCACAUCUUCUCUUUCUUUCAACUCUCUGCACUCUCUCCCGUAUCUCUCGAAAUUCUCUCGCCCCGCGUCCCACAACCGUGUUCAUCCAUCACCACAACACCCUCCCUGGCGUUAACAGUGCCGUCAUCAUCAUCAUCGUCAUGCCGUCUCUCUCUCUCUGGUCGCAUGCAAAGAAUGGCGAAACCCAGAAGCACUUCGGUGAUAUUUUCUUAUUGUUCCGAUUAGGAUUUUAGAGCAAGAUCAACUCGGGAGAAAACUCACCCAAAUCCGGCGAGCCCGUGAGUGUCGAGGAGCUUUCUGUCUAUCUUAGGUCGUUCCACGGCGAACCAAAGGUGAACUUGCUAGUGGGGAUUUCCUUAAUCCUUUUCCGCACAACUCUGCUGCUACGAAGUAUCUGUGAGUGGACCCCUUCUAAAAUUACAUGAUUUCGUAGUUUAAUUGCAUAAAUGAAAAGCAUGCCUUACGAGUUUAUGGAUUGAUUUUAUGUUAAGCAUGUUUGUUGAAAUGUUGAUUAUAGUCUCGUUAUUUUGUGAGGAAUUAAUUC